AGCAUGAAGUCGGACAAGUGA
rnacentral:rRNA from 1 species